rnacentral:rRNA from 1 species
UACGAAGGGGGCUAGCGUUGCUCGGAAUGACUGGGCGUAAAGGGCGCGUAGGCGGCUCAUACAGUCAGGCGUGAAAUUCCUGGGCUCAACCUGGGGACUGCGCUUGAGACGUGUGGGCUUGAGUGGGGAAGAGGGUCGUGGAAUUCCCAGUGUAGAGGUGAAAUUCGUAGAUAUUGGGAAGAACACCGGUGGCGAAGGCGGCGACCUGGUCCUUGACUGACGCUGAGGCGCGAAAGCUAGGGGAGCAAACAGG